rnacentral:rRNA from 1 species
UACGAAGGGGGCUAGCGUUGCUCGGAAUUACUGGGCGUAAAGCGCACGUAGGCGGCUCUUUAAGUCGGGGGUGAAAUCCUGGAGCUCAACUCCAGAACUGCUCUGAUACUGUAGAGCUUGAGUUCGGGAGAGGUGAGUGGAACUGCGAGUGUAGAGGUGAAAUUCGUAGAUAUUCGCAAGAACACCAGUGGCGAAGGCGGCUCACUGGCCCGAUACUGACGCUGAGGUGCGAAAGCGUGGGGAGCAAACAGG